CUUCUUUAAACUAAGUUGUUUUUCUUCUUUAAGUCUUAAGUUGUUCUUUUAAACUGUUGUCCAUGCAUGUCGGUCACGAUCGCCGCGUUUGUGAUACCCCUGGUAUGGGCGGUCGUGACACCCUCACUUCAUACUCAGAUUUUGGAGCUUGUUCUGUUGUCAACUUGUAAUGUUGCCUGAUGAGGUGUGUGUGAAAUCCGCCAUUUUCAGAAGAAAGAACAAAUCAGUUGGACGGACGAACGAAUCAAGAAAAGAAUGGAAAAUUUUGUGGCAUUGAGUUGAUCAAGCCAAAAAUCAAGCGGAGCCAGCAGGAGUUCUGCAUUGGAGGAUAGAGCUGAAGACCCCACCACCAAUUGUGAAGGGCAGGAACGACAUUUCAGAGAGGUGGUACCCUAGGGAUUAGAGCCCUAAGCCUCUCUAUAUAAUGGAAGCCCGACACAAGAAAAAGGGAGUCCCAGCCGUAGGUAGAAAGGGGGUCUCAAACACACUUAGUUAGAUAUCUUUAGGAAUUCAGCUCUCUUAUAGGGCUGAAAUCGAAGCUCAUUUCACUUCCUCUUCUUGAUUCCUUUGCACACACACACUUGGUCCUCGCUUAGUUUAUUUUAGUUGGUAUUUGGGUGUAGUUUCUGGCAUUUUUCAACUUUCGGUUCUGUAUUCAGCUUCGAGAAGGGGCGACGAAACAAUUUACUACUUUCCCUGUUCGUUUUCUAUUUA